rnacentral:rRNA from 1 species
GGUUUUGCGCCUCGGGAGCUUUCCAUGCAAGUCGAACGGCAGCGCGAGAGAGCUUGCUCUCUUGGCGGCGAGUGGCGGACGGGUGAGUAAUAUAUCGGAACGUGCCCAGUAGCGGGGGAUAACUACUCGAAAGAGUGGCUAAUACCGCAUACGCCCUACGGGGGAAAGGGGGGGAUCGCAAGACCUCUCACUAUUGGAGCGGCCGAUAUCGGAUUAGCUAGUUGGUGGGGUAAAGGCUCUCCAAAGGGCAAGGUUUUCGUGGUUGUUUUGAAGGGGACGGCCAGCCACCACUGGGAUUGGAGACACGGCCCCAGAUUCUUACGGGAGGGCAGCCAGUGGGGAAUUUUGGACAAUGGGGGAAACCCUGAUCCAGCCAUCCCGCGUGUUUUGAUGAAGGCCUUUCGGGUUGUAAAGUACUUUUGGCAGAGAAGAAAAAGGUAUCCCCUAAUACGGGAUACUGCUGACGGUAUCUGCAGAAUAAGCACCGGCUAAUUACGUGCCAGCAGCCGCGGUAAUACGUAGGGUGCAAGCGUUAAUCGGAAUUACUGGGCGUAAAGCGUGUGUAGGCGGUUCGGAAAGAAAGAUGUGAAAUCCCAGGGCUCAACCUUGGAACUGCAUUUUUAACUGCCGAGCUAGAGUAUGUCAGAGGGGGGUAGAAUUCCACGUGUAGCAGUGAAAUGCGUAGAUAUGUGGAGGAAUACCGAUGGCGAAGGCAGCCCCCUGGGAUAAUACUGACGCUCAGACACGAAAGCGUGGGGAGCAAACAGGAUUAGAUACCCUGGUAGUCCACGCCCUAAACGAUGUCAACUAGCUGUUGGGGCCGUUAGGCCUUAGUAGCGCAGCUAACGCGUGAAGUUGACCGCCUGGGGAGUACGGUCGCAAGAUUAAAACUCAAAGGAAUUGACGGGGGACCCGCACAAGCGGUGGAUGAUGUGGAUUAAUUCCGAUGCAACGCGAAAAAACCUUACCUACCCCUUGGACAUGUCUGGAAAGCCGAAAGAGAUUUGGCCCGUGCUCGCAAGAGAAACCGGAAACACAAGGUGCUUGCAUGGGCUGUCGUCAAGCUCGUGUCCGUGAGAAUUUUGGGUUUAAUUCCCGCAACCGAGCGCAACCCCUUGUUCAUUUAUUUGCUACCGCAAGAAGCCCUCUAAAUGAAGACUGGCCGUUGACAAACCCGGAAGGAAGGUGGGGGAAUAGACGUCCAAAUUCCUCAUGGCCCUUAUGGGUAGGGCUUCACACGUCAUACAAUGGUCGGGACAGAGGGUCGCCAACCCGCGAGGGGGAGCCAAUCUCAGAAACCCGAUCGUAGUCCGGAUCGCAGUCUGCAACUCGACUGCGUGAAGUCGGAAUCGCUAGUAAUCGCGGAUCAGAAUGUCGCGGUGAAUACGUUCCCGGGUCUUGUACACACCGCCCGUCACACCAUGGGAGUGGGUUUCACCAGAAGUAGGUAGCCUAACCGUAAGGAGGGCGCUUACCACGGUGGGAUUCAUGACUGGGGUGAAGUCGAACCAAGGAGCCGGGGGGU